GCCAGGAACAGUGGUGCAUGCCUGUAAUCCCAGCUACUCAGUACUCAGGAGGCUGAGACAGGAGGAUCGAAAGUUGAAGGUCAGCCUCAGUAACUUAGCGAGACCCUGUCUCAC
rnacentral:sRNA from 1 species